rnacentral:misc_RNA from 1 species
UCCGGUUUGUCACCGGCGGUCUCCUUAGAGUGCCCAACUAAAUGAUGGCAACUAAGGCCGAGGGUUGCGCUCGUUGCGGGACUUAACCCAACAUCUCACGACACGAGCUGACGACAGCCAUGCAGCACCUGUGUUCCUCCCACCCGAAGUGAAGGACUCCGUCUCUGGAGUCCACAGAGGACAUGUCAAGGGCUGGUAAGGUUCUUCGCGUUGCUUCGAAUUGAACCACAUGCUCCACCGCUUGUGCGGGCCCCCGUCAAUUCCUUUGAGUUUCAGCCUUGCGGCCGUACUCCCCAGGCGGAGUGCUUACUGGGUUUCCUUCGGCACUGAGGACAGGAAGUCCCCAACACCUAGCACUCAUCGUUUACGGCGUGGACUAC